CAACAACACUCAGACGAUAAAGAAAUGAGGCAACGGAGGGAAGGGAUGUUUAUCAAGGGUGGUUGAACCCCCUCUGUUGCUUAUGAUUUUCGAUUUUGCCCCAUCUGUUUUAACCGCCCUCUUGCUUUGCUAAAGCUGCGUUCUUGUUAAUAGCAUUCACAAUCGAUCCUCCAUCUGUAUCUGUCUAUAUAUAUGUAUAUAUUUUUUUGAACGGCAAAUUUCACACCUUUUUAACCCCUGAUCGCACCAGCAACGGAUAUUAAGGUGCUGCCUGAAUAAGGCUAUGCUUUGCUAACUACGUUGGGGUUCUGAUCUCGUGAUGUAUCGAUAAAGUUGAGUUGGCUUUUCCGAUGAUGAUGAUGACGAGUUUCUUUAGGCUAUAGGGUACUUAACCGGAAUAAAAGGGGCGAUGAUGAUGAGUUUCUAAUUCUCUGAGUGAAUCGGUGGUUGAGAUAUACCAAGUCUUGGCAGGGCAAUUCUCCGGCGGUAUAUGUAUAUUUGAUGCCACCGUGAGUUUUGCAGCCAUGGAGGUUUUAUCCUAUCUGUACCGAUUGUUUUUUACAGAUCUGAGCCUCAUUCUAUUCAAUAAAAUUGAGUUUUUGAUCUAUUUAGCUAUUAAGAUUUUUGUUCAAGAUUCAUAGGUCGCAGACUAUGAUGUUUUUCUUCCAAACACUUGUAAAUAAGAGAGUAUUAAAAACUUGCAAGUCGUCUAAUUCUCUGUUUAUCUGUGUGCUAAUGUUUUUACAUAUAUGAGCCUCAUCAUAUUUUGAACAUAAAAUGCGUAUAUUCAAUUGCCAUUUGAUUUGAAGUGUGUUUUUGUUCCAUAUUCUCAUAUAGCUAGGGAUAGUAAAUUUGAGAUGAUUUAUGCAUACAUUUGAUAUUUUGAUGGAUGGACGGUAA
rnacentral:lncRNA from 1 species